rnacentral:misc_RNA from 1 species
AAGUCGUAACAAGGUUUCCGUAGGUGAACCUGCGGAAGGAUCAUUAAAAAAGGAUACCGGGCAACCGGUAGACCCCACCCGUGUCUAUCUACUCUUGUUGCUUUGGCAGGCCGUGGCCUCCACCGUGGGCUCUGCCUGCGCGUGCCUGCCAGAGGACCAAACUCUGAAUUUUAGUGAUGUCUGAGUACUAUAUAAUAGUUAAAACUUUCAACAACGGAUCUCUUGGUUCUG